rnacentral:rRNA from 1 species
UACAUAGGGGGCAAGCGUUAUCCGGAAUUACUGGGUGGAAAGGGUGCGUAGGCGGUUAGGAAAGUCAGAUGUGAAACCCCUUGGCUCAACCAAGGGCAUGCAUUUGAAACUUCUUGACUAGAGUACAGGAGAGGUAAGUGGAAUUUCUAGUGUAGCGGUAAAAUGCGUAGAUAUUAGGAAGAACACCAGUGGCGAAGGCGACUUACUGGACUGAAACUGACGCUGAGUCACGAAAGCGUGGGGAGCAAACAGG